rnacentral:rRNA from 1 species
GGCCAGACUCCUACGGGAGGCAGCAGUGGGGAAUAUUGCACAAUGGGGGAAACCCUGGUGCAGCAACGUCGCGUGAGUGAGGAAGUAUUUCGGUAUGUAAAGCUCUAUCAGCAGGGAAUAGAAAAGAAGGUACCUGAAAAAGAAGCCCCGGCUAACUACGUGCCAGCAGCCGCGGUAAUACGUAGGGGGCAAGCGUUAUCCGGAUUUACUGGGUGUAAAGGGAGCGUAGACGGCAGCGCAAGUCCGAAGUGAAAGCCCGGGGCCCAACCCCGGGACUGCUUUGGAAACUGUGAAGCUGGAGUGCGGGAGGGGCAGGCGGAAUUCCUGGUGUAGCGGUGAAAUGCGUAGAUAUCAGGAGGAACACCGGCGGCGAAGGCGGCCUGCUGGACCGUAACUGACGUUGAGGCUCGAAAGCGUGGGGAGCAAACAGGAUUAGAUACCCUAGUAAG